GAUGAACGCUGGCGGCGUGUCUAAGGCAUGCAAGUCGAACGGAUCUUCGGAGUCAGCAAUGAUUUUGAAGGUUAGUGGCAAACGGGUGAGUAACACAUUAGUAACCUGCCUCGAAGUUCGGGAUAACGGUCCGAAAGGACCGCUAAUACCGGACGUGAUCGCGCGAUUGAUUCGCGUGAGGAAAGCCCAAAAGGCGCUUCGAGAGGGGCUUAUGUCCUAUCAGCUUGUUGGUGAGGUAACGGCUCACCAAGGCGACGACGGAUAGCCGGCCUGAGAGGGCGACCGGCCACACUGGGACUGAGACACGGCCCAGACUCCUACGGGAGGCAGCAGUGGGGAAUAUUGCACAAUGGGCGCAAGCCUGAUGCAGCGACGCCGCGUGAGGGACGAAGGUCUUCGGAUUGUAAACCUCUUUCAGUAGGGACGAAGCGAAAGUGACGGUACCUAAAGAAGAAGCACCGGCUAACUACGUGCCAGCCGCCGCAGUAA
rnacentral:rRNA from 1 species